GAUGAACGCUGGCGGCGUGCCUAAUACAUGCAAGUCGAGCGAACGGACGAGAAGCUUGCUCCUCUGAUGUUAGCGGCGGACGGGUGAGUAACACGUGGAUAACCUACCUAUAAGACUGGGAUAACUUCGGGAAACCGGAGCUAAUACCGGAUGAUAUUUUGAACCGCAUGGUUCAAAAGUGAAAGACGGUUUUGCUGUCACUUAUAGAUGGAUCCGCGCUGCAUUAGCUAGUUGGUAAGGUAACGGCUUACCAAGGCAACGAUGCAUAGCCGACCUGAGAGGGUGAUCGGCCACACUGGAACUGAGACACGGUCCAGACUCCUACGGGAGGCAGCAGUAGGGAAUCUUCCGCAAUGGGCGAAAGCCUGACGGAGCAACGCCGCGUGAGUGAUGAAGGUCUUCGGAUCGUAAAACUCUGUUAUUAGGGAAGAACAUAUGUGUAAGUAACUAUGCACGUCUUGACGGUACCUAAUCAGAAAGCCACGGCUAACUACGUG
rnacentral:rRNA from 1 species